ensembl:lncRNA
UCAGUUUUCUUACAGAUUUAAUUACUCACACAAAUAAUUCAUUUGGAAACCAUAAAAGAUACCUAUGUACACCUAAACUGCCUGGUCUUCCACAGAGCGGGGACUAAAGGGGCACGGCGGGGCAGACGACAGCGAGCGUGCCCUGGGCUCUGUAGGGUUGCGGGGUCACUGUGAUUUUGAUCUGCUGAGCUCAAGGACUGGAGACGGAAUAAAAAUGCCUACUUGCCUUAGACAUAAGAAGUUGCAAACUCGCCCAUCGGCAGCUGCCUCCACUUCUGAGACUCCUCCCCCUGCGGGAGCUCUGAACCAGCCCCGAGGCCACUCCAUGUCCCAAGGAGCGUUGCCGCUGAGGAUCAAGCAGCCAGUGAAAAAGAGAAAAGGAGAGCCCCAGCAGGUGUCCAUCACCCGGCUCCCAGGACCCACCUGCUGAAGAGCUGCUCUCCCUCGAAGGGCAGUGGCUGCCACUCCAGAGGCCGCUUCCUUCAAGCUCAAGGGCACGUGCGUUUCCUUAGCUUGUAGUGUCCAUCCUAUCAGGUGGUUAUUUUUAAAACAGAAGUACAGUCAUUCUGCUUUUUGAUACAGACUAGAGCAAGAGGACAGGAAGAACCAAUGGGCUGUCAAGAGAGACUUGGUUUUUGAAACAGGACAUGAAAGCAGAUCCCACCUAGAUUCAAAAAUUGAGAAAAACGUCAGUGAAACCUGUUAAGUUCACUAAAAAGUUGGCAGAUGUUUCAUGUCUUUAGAGGAUUUUGGCCAACAACUUAAAACCAGCAUAUUAGGACGUGGUCAAGGCAGUCAUUAGAAUAUACCGGCUGCACAGGGCCUUUCCUCCGGCACUUCUUUUAAUGACAAAAAAGUUUUACUUUGUUCUUCAAAAGUCUUCUACUGACUAGUCUGUCUGUGAUUAAAACAGCAAAAACAGGCCCUGGUUUGAGUGCGGGUAGACUCUUUGAGGGAGGGCACCUCAGACUAGUCUGUUUAUGAUGAAAACAGCAGACACAGGCCGUGGUUUGAGUGCGGGUAGACUCUGAGGGAGGGCACCUCAGGAACGUGCCUUUAGACCCUUCCCAUGGCUCCAUGUAGAGGGAAGCACUCACUCACAGUCCGUAAGAAUCCAGACGUGAGCGGCGACCCCACUCAGCAACCCAUCCUGCCUCCAAGCUGACUUGGCUAGAGAGUAUCUUGCAUCCUUUUGUUCUCUUCUGACUACCUGUCACUCGUGUUUUCAAUAAUCUUCUUUUGAAAUAAUGAGCCUUAGUUGUCUUUGCAGGCAACUAGGCACCUCCAGUAGGACGUCAAGAUGUAAGACGGCCACUACCUGAACUUACAGCUGCUGAAAGGAGAAAGGGUAUAAACGGAGACCAUCAUCACCCAUCAGAACCGGGGAUCAUCACAUUCCUUUAAAUGGAAAAGCCCAUCCCACAACUUUCUUCUUCAUGUUCUAAAAAGUGACACCUAGGUUUCCUCAACAGAAAACUGUGCUUCAAUCCCAAAUCCUCUUUCAGACCAACAGGCCUUAAAGGGAGUUUGCCAUUAAAGACCAAUGUCUUUUUUUUUUUUUUUUUUUUGAGACGGAGUCUGUUGUUUCCCAGGCUGGAGUGUAAUGGCACGAGCUCGGCUCACUGCAGCCUCCACCUAUCGGGUUCAAGUGAUUCUCUUGCCUCAGCCUCCCGGGUAGCUGGGAUUACAGGCACGUGCCCACCACGCCUGGCUAAUUUUUCUAUUUUUAAUAGAGACAGGGUUUCACCAUAUUGGCCAGGCUGGUCUUGAACUCCUGACCUCGUGAUCUGUCUGCCUUGGCC